rnacentral:misc_RNA from 1 species
GUGAGAGGAGUAGAGUGAAUCAAGAACGAAGUAUAAGGGAUCAAAAAUGAGAGCCAGACUUGGUGCUGCCAAGUUCUCGACUGAUGGCCUUGGUUGAGAUUCUCAAAGCUACAAGUUGGAAGGAUGGACUGGGGGAGACAAGAGGUCUCUGGCAGGGCGGUUGAGGACUAGACCGCCUCCCUUUGGACAGGAGCAAGGCCUCAGAGGUAGGCGGACGGUGCUGUCAGAGGCUAAGGUCUCAAUGUGAAGUCAGAGUUGAGAGCUGGCAGGCUUGGGUCUGUAACCGGUGAGCAUACUAGGAGCUGCAAAGACCAAGUAUGAGUACUGGUGAGCCCAAGUCUGCCUGCUUUCGUGUGUGUCCUUCCAAGAGCGACAGGCUUAUAGGGGCUGCUCUGACAUACUGUC